rnacentral:snRNA from 8 species
AUCGCUUCUCGGCCUUUUGGCUCGUAUCGAUUGUAGUAUCUGUUCGUAUCAGUCUAAUAUCUGAUACGUCCCGCUUCUGGGGACAACAUAUUAAAUGGAUUUUUCGAACAUGGAGUCGGAAAUGGGGCUUGCUCCGUCCGCUCCGCGCAUCGACCCGGUAUUGCAGUACCUCCGGGAACGGUGCAACACUU